UGUGGGAGGGGGCUUGCCCCCGAUAGCGGUGGUUCAGUCAAAUUAUUCGUGACUGACCUACCGCCAUCGGGGGCAAGCCCCCUCCCACA
rnacentral:misc_RNA from 1 species